CAGUGGCUGAAGGGAUAGCCCAUCCAAGGUUUUCUGUCCCGGGCCCGCAGACACCACUGCAUACUUUUUCCUGCGCUUCGGCUUCACCGUGCCACGGAUGUUGGCAGGCUUGCUGCGCUUGGAGCGUAAGCGUUUGUCUCCCACCACCAGUUCCAGGAAGAGAAGGCCUAAAAGUUCAAAGAAUAAAGGCAGAGUAUAGAUGAAUGGGGACUGCAGAGUGUGAUGUUCAGAGAAUGGGCAGCACAGAGAGAAAGUCUGCUUCUGAAUUCUCCUCAUUCUCCUGUGGGGUGCGGUCCACUGUGGCAAGUAAUCGUGACUCCCUAUACCUCUGUUUCCCCCCCUCCCCCUGUAAGAGAGAAAUAAUAAUAGCACUUACCCCAUUUGUUUCUUGUGAUGAAAUUAUAAUUUCAAAUAUUUGGUAAUAUGCUUGUUUUUAUCCCCCCAAAUAACUUAUAGAAGCUCUGAGAGAUGCCCCGACAGUCACCACUGUGCCAGCACAGUUCUCAUGGUAGGCUUGAGGACCACCAUAUUGAAUUAUUGGUGUAGUCGAUGUGUUGAUACAACCAUUAUAGUAGAUCAACAGAGCUCAUUCAGAUAUAAUCAGAAAACAAUU